GCCUGGGUGGCUCAGUUGGUUAAGCGUCUGACUUCGGCUCAGGUCAUGAUCUCAUGGUUCGUGGGUUUGAGCCCUGCAUCAGGCU
rnacentral:tRNA from 1 species